UACAGACGGUCCAAACGUUAUUCGGAAUCACUGGGCGUAAAGGGCGCGUAGGCGGUGCGGUAAGUCACCUGUGAAAUCUCCUGGCUCAACUGGGAGCUUGCAGGCGAAACUGCCGUGCUGGAGUGUGGGAGAGGUGCGUGGAAUUCCUGGUGUAGCGGUGAAAUGCGUAGAUAUCAGGAGGAACACCUGUGGCGAAAGCGGCGCACUGGACCACAACUGACGCUGAGGCGCGAAAGCUAGGGGAGCAAACAGG
rnacentral:rRNA from 1 species